CCUAGAGUCCGUCUUCUCUCCGGGAUCUAGGACUUCUAGGUUCCUCCCUCUCCAAAGUUCCGAGACUCAACCAUGAAGUGAAGGGUUCUGCCAUCUUGCUGUGCACUGCUACCAUGGUAUAGGCUCAAGAACAAUGGGGCCAACCAGGCAUGGACUAGAAGCUCCAAGACGUUGUCCUUUAGAGGCUGCUCUAAAGUCUCAGGUGCUUGUUUCAGAUUUGGAAGCAUGGCCAACACACUAGUGAAGUGAAAAAGACAUUCUGGCUGAAGUGUUGAUUUGCAUCUCCUCAGUGACCGUAACUUGCUGACAAACACAUAAGCGGCACCCUGCUUUUGCAGACUGGGUUGUGAAGAUGGAUUUUUGCUCUGAGUGUGAAACUCCAUCUGUGUGUUCUCAGCAUCUGUCCAACAGGCAGUAUGGUCCUCUGACCUACAGUGACCUGAGCUCCCAGGACGAAAACAAGAAGAUGGUCUCUGGGAUCCUAGAAUUCAAAGAACCCGUCUGAGUCACAGGAUGGUCACGGAGUUUCUAAUUUCUCUCACCUCACCGUAUAGCAAAGCUGAGAGCCCCGAUAAAAUAGUUCUUUCAAUUUACCAUCUCCAGAAGCAGCCAAUCUUACAAUCCUAAAUUUGAGACUAUUCAUACAAAAAAAAAUCACCCAGCGUAUUUAUGUUUGUUUGCUUUCUCCUACCAUGAUAAAGACUGUGAUCCAAAACAAUGGGGCUGUUCAGCUGUUCAGCUGGUAAAUUUUUUUGACCAAUUGUUAUUCCUUGCCUUGGGCAGCUAUAAAGUUAAAUAAAUCCCACCCUAAAUGCAGGUGGCACUGGUCUGAGGGUUUGGUUCACAGACUGAACUGUGAGUUGAAUGUUAGCACUCACUGUGCCCUCUUUCCUGACUAUGGACACAAUGUGAUCGAUCAGCUGCGUCUCUCUCCUGUUUGCAGAACUCCCCCACCAUGAUGGACUGCGCCCUCAAGCUUCGGGCAAACAAUCUUCCCUCUCCUAAGCUGCUUUUGUAGUGCAUUCUGUCAUAGCAACAAGCAAAGUAACUAUUGAAUGCAGAGACCCUGGCUACAAUAAUGUGUUUGCAUGGCCACAGAUGGUUAGACUAAAUGUUUACAUUAAAAAGUUAGAAGGUCUCUUUGGGGCUACCUCAAAGCUGGGAUAAUGUAAGCCUGCUAGAAAAGGCAGCCUGAAGGCACUCAGCUCAGAGGAGAGCUACACAGAGACAGGCUCGGCCUGAUGGCAUCAUUGAUGCCUUCACUCAUUAUUUCCAAACACUACCCUGGUCUUACCACACUUAAAAAGUCAGUGCCUGAGCUCUUUCUGUAUAUUUUUGUAAGCCUGUUCAAUAUUCCACAUCAGUUAAGUUUUGAAGUUCUAAAACCCCUAAAGAACCCCUGCACUCACUUGCAUUACUUGCUAAUUUAUUUCCUUUAUCACUACUUUUUUUUAUCUCCCCUGUACCAGACACAGAAUCACACAGCAUGCGACUUUUGAGGUUGGCUUCUUUCAUUAGCAUGGUUGUGGAGGUUUAUCCACACAGCAUAUGCCAAGAUUCCAUUUAUGGUUUGUGUCCAAAUUGCAUUGCACUAGAUGGCAGCAUGACAUUUUGCUUACCCAUCUACUUUUCUAUUGAUCAAAGGCCUACUUUAUGCAUCAGUGUAUAAACAUGCAUGUGACACGCGUGCUCAUACCAUGUGUGCAUAGGCCAUGUCUGCACGUACCACAGAACUUAUGGAGGUCAGGGGACAACGUUCAGGAAUCAGUUUUCUGCCUUCACUGAGGGUUCCAGUGAUUGAGCUCAGAGCCCUCGACUGGCAUGGCAAGUGAUUUUGCCCACAGAACCAUCACUUAGGAUGGCCCUUGACUUAUUGAUGGAAAGUUUUGAAGACUUGUGAGAUUUUAUUCCCAAACUGAUUACACCAUGAUAUAUUUCACUUACUAGUGUAUGAGAAGUGAAGUUUUUCU